CAACACACUGCUUUCUUCCCUUAAGGUCAGUGUAAACCCCAGUUAUUUGGUACCUGAAUCUGACUACUCCAACAACAUAGUACGCUGUGAUAUACGUUACACUGGCCACCAUGCAUAUGCCUCUGGCUGUACAAUUUCACCAUACUGAGAGAGAUACAAGAAAAUGGAUGAGAUGGUGCCAAAUGUUUUGAACUGAAGUAUCAUUAUAUAAAUUUCCAUAGGAUGUAAACAGUAUAGAAGCAAAACUGCAGAACAUACACACGUACACCCACACACAUCGUGAUUUUGAAGCACGUUAGCUGCUUCUCAGCAAAAUCUGAAACUAGAUUUUAUACAUUUGAAUUGGCAUUAUGUUUCUAACUAUUGAAAUGUGUGGAUCUGGUGACUCAUGCACAGAUAUUCUAAAAUUUCAAAAUAUUAACUCAUUCACCAAAAAAACAAAGGAAAACAAACAAACA